rnacentral:rRNA from 1 species
UACGUAGGGGGCAAGCGUUGUCCGGAUUUAUUGGGCGUAAAGGGCUCGUAGGCGGCCAACUAAGUCAGACGUGAAAUCCCUCGGCUUAACCGGGGAACUGCGUCUGAUACUGGAUGGCUUGAGAUUGGGAGAGGGAUGCGGAAUUCCAGGUGUAGCGGUGAAAUGCGUAGAUAUCAGGAGGAACACCGGUGGUGUAGACGGCUCUCUGGACCGUAACUGACGCUGAGGCACGAAAGCGUGGGUAGCAAACAGG